UUUUAUUAUUCAUUUUUUUAUUUUUCUUUUUUCAUUUUUUAUUUUCCAAUUUUCAAUCACUCCUCACUUUCUCUCUCUACCCCCAAUCUUCUCUCUUUAGUUCGACUGGACUCUCUCUCUACCCCCAAUCCUCUCUCUCGUCGCUCCUCAUUUUCUCUCUCGUCGCUCCUCGCUCUCUCUCUCUACCCCACUCCUUUCUCUCUCUACUCUCACUCCUCACUUCUUCACUCAUAACUAUUUCUCCUAAAUCAGACUGCGAACCCUAGGUUUUUCACUCUUCAUCAUAAUUUGUUUUUAUUGGAUUUCAUACUCAAUUAGGCAUUGAUGUUUGUAAAUACAGUAGUGCAUUAGCACAAUCUUCUAAUUUGCAACAGUAUUUGAACCAUAUGAAUGGAUCCGUUGAAAUGAAUCGGAGUUUGAAGGAAUAUCUGAUCGGAGGGAGGUCGCAGCGCCGGCCAGGUCUCAUUCUCGACGGAAUCUCCGAGGAUAUGGACGAGAACUUGGAUCUCUUCUCUAGGAAUCGCCGGAGUAUCUCCGUUGCUUCGUCCGAUGAAUCGGACGUUUCAGUGAAAUUGGGGAGACUUUCAGUUGGUUUAGCGAAACCGUCGAGGAAUGGGAUAGAUGAUCUAUUGUCAUUAACUGACGGAGGAAAGCACGACUACGAUCGGCUUCUUACUCCUCUUGAAAUCCCACUUUUUCCUUCAUCGGAUGGAAAUGAGUCUAAAGUCUAAACUAGCCCCAGAAGCUCCAAGAAGGUCUUCCAUGGUUAGACCAGACUCUACAGCUAAGACUUCAAGGGUAUGUUUUCUAUGUUCUUUUGUUUUAGCUAUUGAAAUUAUCAACCAAUAAAAUACAUAAAGUGACUGUCUGUCUCACCUACAUUUUAUUUAGAUAAGUUUUUGAAUUUUUAGGUGUUCAGAGCUCACUUGAAAUUUUACCCCAUUUGAUUUAGAACUUAUUUUUUAAGCGAGAUCCAGAUUACCUUAUUAAACACACUUAAUUGGAUAAUCACUUAAUUUAAAUUUGGUGAAUUGGGGUCUCUCAUGAUUAUAAUUUUUAUAAAGUUAAAUGUAGCAAAUUAUGACGUCUAAUGAUUCCAUUAAAUGUUUAGGACUUUAUGUUCCACUGAUCUGGUCUAUCAUGCCUUAUAAUUGUAUCCAAUGUUUACAUUCUUGUGAUCUAUUUUAAUGCCUAAUAAUGAAAGAGUUGGUUCUGAAUCAUGUUUGUAAAAAACCUACAGUGAUUGCUUCCAUUUCAAGGAUCUUCUUUUAAAGAACUUGUUAAAAUAGUUUUAAAGUACCUUGGGUUGCAGAUCUCUAAUAUGAUAUUUCCUGGGAAAUCAACCCAGUCCAUGCUAGUCCUAAGUUUUCCAGUGUAAGAAGCACCCUAAGUUCAUCGAACUCUCUGGCACAUCAGAAUUUGAAUUUUCCAGAGUCUCUACAUCCAUGAAGGACCUGUGGUAUGAUGUUUUUGGGAUAUCAAAGGAAAAGAAGAUCCAAGAGCUGUGAAAGGGAACCAAGAAUUGCUAGAUGCAUUGCCUGAGAAAAGAACAUUUGAGGAUGGUGGUUAUUUGUUUGAUGAUGCAAAAGAGCAUUGCUGAAAAAAUCAGUUUGAUUCAGAGCAAUUUGAAAAGAUCCUGGAGUUUUGAAGAUCUGGGAUCGAUAGUGGAGCUACCCUUGAGACUGGAGGUGAGAGAUUUGGUACCAAGGGCUACUAUAUCGCGCCCACGGUUUUCUCUAAAGUUCUGGACGACAUGUUUAUUUCAAAGGAGUAGAUCUUUGGUCCCGUGCAAUCUAUCUUAAAAUACAAGGAUCUUAAUGAUGUGAUACGAAGGGCAAAUGCCUCUCAUUUAUGGGCUGGCUGCUGGGGUAUUUACUCAGAACCUCAGCACCGCCAACACCUUGAUGCAUGCAUUGAGAGUUGGGGACAGUGUGGAUUAACAGCUUCGAUACUUUUUUUUUUCCUUUUUUUUUUGGUUGAACGAUUUGAUGAGACAUUAAAAAUCUUUUAUUUCCCUUGUUAUUGAGACAUAGCGUCACUAAUAAAUGCAUUGUAAUUCCUUUUUUUUUUUUUGUCCUUGUGAAUUGAGUUUAUUUGAUCAAUAAAUUUGGUUUAUGAAUGGAUUGACCUUGA